CCACCAAAGUUGAGUUCUUUAUAUGCCUUGAAAUAGCAGAGCAAAUUACCAUCAUUGUUUAUGUUAUUUGAAGUCAAAACGUUCUUACAUUGGAGACAGCUGUGGAUUUUGAAUGCUUUGCUUAGCAAAUAUCCUGAAACAUAGGCAGCAGCAUUUUUGAGCAAUAAAUUGUUGCUAAUAUUUUGUUCUCGGUAGUCAUUUUCACCAAUCAACAGUGAGUUACUUGGAGCUUUUGCAUGGACCAGUUUCCUUUGGAAGAGGUCAAAAGUGAACU